CCACCAAACACUAAAGUUGCAUCUUACAAAAAUGUCUUUAUCACCACAUUACAUGAUCAAUGCCCAUGUCACACCCCAAAAUUUACCCCUAAAUUUUAUAAUCAUUUGCAUCCUAGACAUCAUUCAUGCUUAGCUAACCUCAAGAUUAAGAUAUACUUGGUUUUGUUUCAUCUAUGAACUAGGGUUUCCCUCAAAGAGCUCAAAGGAUUGAUCAAAGUUUUGGAUUGAUUAUCAAUAAAUCAAGUUCUCAUACACUCAAGAGAUAUCUCUCUCCAUCCUAGAGCUGGUGGUGAGGCGUGUUUCCAAUGAGUGAGCCAAGAACGAUGAAUCAAUAUGGAAUAUUCAAUGUUGAAAACGGAAUGAAGAGUGCAGAGCGCAAAGGAUUUGAGGAUUGAAGUUUUUUGAAGCCCUUCCCCCUGAAACUGAAGCCCUGUUAUAUUAUUGAGUGGACUGGAAGAGUAUGUUGCAGCUUUUUAUCCUGAUAGGAAUUGUUUGAAUUAAAGGUGUUGCACCUUGUUAUUUGUUAAUGGCAGGCAUGUUGUGUGGAUGAUGUAAUUUUGGAUUAACAUUGGUUUUGUAUGGUUGAAUGUUUGGAAUUAUUUGACUUGAUUUUGAAUG